GACCCCAAAGGCCAAAGCCCAGCCCCUAGCCUAAUUUUCACGAAAUUAGGGUUCUGGCUUCUUUCCCCUCUCUCUCUCUCCGCCACUUCCUCCUUCCUCUCUCUCUCUUCCUGCCCGUCUCUCUCUCUUUCUGCUUAUUCUUGCCUUCUUCUUCAGUUCUUCUUGCCCUUCACUUGUUCAAGGCUUCAACUCUUCAAGGCGUUCAAGCCCUUCAAGCGAGUUCAAGGCUUCAGUCUAGAAAAUGUCAGAUUCAGAUGACAUGAUGGUGACAAAUUCAAAUGAAACAAAUAAAGUUUCGGAUCUCACAAGUGAAUGAAACAUGACCUCCAAGCUUAUUUAAUUUGCAUUGUGGCUUUGUUAUAUUAUUGUACUUUGUAAUUUGUAUGUUUGGAAUUAUGUAACUAAUGACUUCCCCUAAACUUUAGCUUUUAAUUAGUACUUUAAUCAUGUUAAGACUUGUAUUUUAAUAUGUUAAAACAGGUUACUAGGUUACUUAAAUGUAGCAGGUACUCAA